CCUGGCGGCACUAGCGCGGUGGUCCCACCUGACCCCAUGCCGAACUCAGAAGUGAAACGCCGUAGCGCCGAUGAUAGUGUGGGGUCUCCCCAUGUGAGAGUAGGGAACUGCCAGGC
rnacentral:rRNA from 2 species